rnacentral:lncRNA from 1 species
CAUGAUUCCAGUCCCUAGGCUUGGAAGAGAGAGAAUCCUUUGGAACUAGCACCAAAGCUUCAUGCAAAAAGCUGUGCAGCACUGGUUACAAUGACCUAAAACCUGGAAGCAAACUGUGUUCCAAUAGUAGGGGCUGGCUUAAAUAAUCUCUCGUACAUACAUAUAAAAGAAGAAUGAGGACACUCUCUACUGACAUAGAACCAUUUCCAAGAUUAACCGUUAAGUGAAUAAUGCAAGUUCUAGAAGAAAAGAGCCAAAGGUGCCUCUUCCCCAGCAGAGGCAACAGUAUGCAUUGCAUACCA